GCGCCCUCUACCGCUCGGUCUUUUUAAGCAGGCAGCAGCGAGGGUGAGGCUCAGGCUCCGCCCCCCCGUCGCCCCGCCCCUCAGGACUCCGCUCCGAUUCGCCUCUUCCAGCCAUACCGGUGAGCAGAGCGCGGCGGCGGUGCAGGACGGGGAAGGCGUCGAGCAGAGGUGUGAGGACGGCCUGGGUGGUGCCCAACAUGGUGCUCAGCCCCAGCCCCAGCAGCAUGAGGAAGAAGAGGGACGACCAGAGCGGUGCCGCCGGCAGCAACGUCAGUGUCUCCGUGAAGACGAUGAAGGCCAGGCCCGGGCCUUCCACCCCCUGAGGGACCCCAACCGUGAGGCACCCCCCCCCACCUGCGGAGGCAUUGCCACGUGCGGCGGGUGGCGCGGGCGCCCAGGACGGCGAAGACGACGAGGGUGGCCAGGAGGGAGGCCUGACCCGUGCCCCACGCCGACGCCUUGGGGGUGAACAUGAUGCGGACGCCCUCGGGGGCCCCCUCGAGCAGCAGCCCCCGGACCAGGAGGCAGAAGAGGACGAGACGCCGACGCUGCCCUGGCGCAGGCACUGCCCGGCCGCCAGCUCCAGGAAGAGCAGGGGGAUGCCCAGGAGGAAGAGGAGCAGCAGGUAGAGCAGGAGGAAGGCACC